AAGAAAUCAAAGUUUUUUGCCACUACGAAACAUCGCCAAGCUAUUCUUCGAAAGUAACGAAGAAUGACAUGCCCGGUAGAAAAGCGAUAAUGAGAAAAGCAACUUAAGGUAGGAGAUAUCUUUGGUAUGCUGGAAUCUAUUCGCAAACAAAAAUCAAACAAACAAAAAAUCAAUCAAUAAUUAAAAUAUUUAUCAUUAAUAAUGAUAAAUAUCGCCUUUGUAUGACGCGUCUUCGCAAUUACAAAAGUUUUUUCCAAAAAAUGUUCAAACUUGUUGACGAAUUGUUCACAGGUAUUUUAUUACAUUUUAAUUAACUUUAUCACCAUUGUUAAUCCAUUACUUUAACUAUAUUUUAAAUUCAACAGCUAUUUACACGGAAAAAAA